GCCCUCGUGGAUCAUGGUUGAUCAUCUUCAUCUAGUCGCAGACACUUCUCUUCUUUAUGAAGACGUUGUAGGUUCGAAUCCUACCGAGGGCA